rnacentral:lncRNA from 1 species
UGGGGGGGCCCCACAGGCACAGGCCCCGCCCCCUUCAGGCCCCGCCCCCUUUAAGCCCCGCCCCUCCACCACCCCAGCACCGCAAGCCCCGCCCCCAGCAGCCCCAGCACCAAUAGCUGCGGGCCCAGGGGGAGGAGCCUGCAGGGGGCGUGGUCAUCGGGUGGGCGGGGCCUCUCCUGCAGCUCCUCAGGAUUGGGCUCCUGCCACGUUGGGGAGGGGCGGUGGGCGUGGUCAGGACCUUCCUCCUCCUCCUCCUCUUCCCCGUUGUCUUCGGGGGGAGCUG